AUCGGCUUCGGGCGUUCAGUAGUACUGAACUAAAGCGUAAAUAGGUACUCCUAAAGGUACACUGUCAUUAAAUUUCGAUCGAUUAAAAAGCGAGUUCAGCUGAGGUUCUUUGAAUUAAGAAAAAACGAAUUGAUCAUAACAACUGAUUUCCUGAAUAUCAGCUGCUCAUUACUUAUUCUCGCAAAUCAGCUGAAUUUCAAAACGCGAGGCUGCUACGCGACAUAUCUUUCACAUUUUCUUAAUUAAACCAGCUGCAAAUAGUGAAGUAGUUAUAAAAUAAAAAUUGGCUACACAAUAAAAUUUAUACGUAAUUUGCAUUUGACAUAAACAAGCGCAAAGAAAUUGGUUUGAUUUGUUAGAACCAAAUAUCAAAGGAAUCUUAGCAUGAUGGAAACAAAAUGGAGAAGGAACAAAGAAAUUGAUUUAAUUCGUUGGAAUCAAAUAUCAAAAAAAUAUUAGUGUGUUGGAAACAAAAGGAAGAAAGUAUGUGGAAUGAAAAAUGAAAAAAAAUAUGUUUCUGAUUUGGUAUAUUGAAUUCGUAUGCCUUAUUUUUUUCAAGAAAUUGCAAUUUACAAGAAUGAAAUUGGACAGUUAUAAAAUAGCUCAAUAUAUGAAUAGCAGAAUCAUGGUGUCAGGCAAUUUGUACAUAACUCUUAUAUCUUAAAACCAGUACAUAAUCAAAAUUUAUUAAGUCUAAAGAAAUUAAUAUGGAUGGAUUACGGUAAGUCAAUAACAGAAUAAAUACAGUAUAACAUUAUUUGGUAAGAUAUGCACAUGAUUUUUAUAAGGAAAAAUUUCCUGAUUGGCAGCUGGAAAAAGUUACAAAAAAAUGAAUCCAAAGAAACUAAACUAAAGUUUACAGAUUUGCUGCAUUUUGGUAAAGAUUCAAAAAAACGAUGCAACCAACGUUUAUAGUUUUGAUUGAAUCUCGAUUUUUACGGUGGUUAUCAAUUAAUUUACGGCUAUCUUCCAACUCAGGGUGCAAUAAAAUGAUUAUUGAAAUUUCUCGACCACAAAUACUGUAUAACAUAAUAACUGUUUGGAUGUGAACUAGGAAACCCUGAUUUUUGCUGAAAUCAGAGUAGAUUUAAAUAUCUUAUUUUCAAAACUUUCCAGAGUUAGAAUUUUAAACCACUUGCAAUUAAAUGAUUUCAGAUUUCCCACCUCUGCCUAAAGUUGAAAUUUUUGAAAAUGUAAGAUUCACAAAAAACAAUUGAACCGCCCUGAUAGUUAAAGUUUGAACUUAAGAAUUUUUAUGGCAUCCCGUUGUAAAAUUACAGGUAAUUGGGUAUUAGAAAUUCAGA